rnacentral:lncRNA from 1 species
AUCAUUCUUCUAUAGAAAGUUGUUGUUUUUUUUUCCCUAAUAACGUGUUUAUCACGCAGUCCUGCACAUUCACCCAUCCACACACACACAGAGCUCUUUAUACAGAGAAAAUCAGGCUGGCGCUGCAAAAGUGCAGAGAAGAUCUUUCGCUAAAAUGCUCUCAAGCAAACAGAGACAGCUAACCUGGAAGUUGGAAUGCCCAGUGUCUUCUCCAAAAUUAUCCAGACUGCUUUUGUUUGCAGAAGUCAGACUGUGCAAGCUGUUGGUGUGUGGCUUGUCCCGCUCCUCAUUCUCUGAAGCUGUUCCUCUGGAUAAAAAAACCAUCCAUCAUCAAACUAGUGACACAACUACAAGAGUGGGCAAAACUGCUCUUCUGCAUAUUCUUGUAGCUUAUGGAAGGCAUUUAAUAAAUUCCUUGAUAUCAGACAGUUUUAAUCUACAUGGCUGGUAAUUGAGAUCGCUACUUGGCAUACAUUCAUCCUGCAUCUCAUCUCUCCCUCCUAUGUAUAUCACAUCAUAUCUUAAUUAGAAAAGUGAGUAGGUCUGCCUUGGAAUACACUAGGAACAUGCCUCUUGAGGAAAAAAAAGCAAAGUCCUCUUUCAUAUUCCAUUUCUUCUGACUACAGAAGAAGGAUCAGAAGUUACAGCAUGUAUCACAUAGCCAUGAAUUUUUCUACCUGAUGACAGUGGAUGUCCUUUCAAGAAAGAAUGAUCAGCAUUUUAGUACCUAACUGGCAACUUGUUGAAAAGUCUGAGGAGCUGAGGUUUUGCUGUACACCAGCAAGUCUGGAACUGCAUUUGGAGGAUGAGUCAGUCAAGCUGUCCAACAUGGAGA